UACGGAGGGUGCAAGCGUUGUUCGGAAUCAUUGGGCGUAAAGCGCGUGUAGGCGGCUUGGCAAGUCGGUUGUGAAAGCCCGGGGCCCAACCCCGGAAUUGCAUCUGAUACUGCCUCGCUAGAGUCCCGGAGAGGAAGGCAGAAUUCCCGGUGUAGGGGUGAAAUGCUUAGAGAUUACAUGGAAUACCAAUUGCGAAGGCAGGUUACUAACAAUAUAUUGACGCUGAUGGACGAAAGCGUGGGUAGCGAACAGG
rnacentral:rRNA from 1 species